ACCUAGGCCUUAGUUUCUAUUGCUGUGAGAAAAUGCCAUGACCAAAAGCAACUUGAGGAGGAAGGGGUUAUUUCAUCUCACAGGUUACAGUCCAUCGUGAAAGAGAUCAAGGCAGCAUUAACAGAAGACCCCAAAUUCCAUACUAAGGAAAGGACAGGGGCCAACCCCAAGGAAAGGAUGGACGUCAGUCAGAUGUGUAUUCAUGCAGUAGUGUGAAGAUGAACUGAGACGCAGGAAAGCAUAAGCAAUUGCAAAGCAAAGCUCCAGCCAAGAGAUAAAGACAGAACUGAAGAACAUCCAGAGUGAAAGGAAGCUGCUGCACAGAUAGACACAUGCAACUUAAAGUAUGUAAAAAUAUACGUGUGCAUGGUUAAUUUUUAAAAGGUGGUUUUACUUAAAAAGACAUUAUAGAGAUCAGUAUGGAGAUUUUUAACUAUCACAGAACUCAGCCACGCCACUCCUCAGGUAUAUUUCUGAAGGACUCUACUUCAACAUCCAUGCUUAUUGCUGUACCAUUCACACAGUCAGAAAAUGGAUCUAGCCUAGGUGUUCCUCAACAGGUGUUGUUCAGCUUACUGAGUGAGGGGCGAGAAAACCAGCUAGGAAGCUAAAGACAUAUGCAACUUGUCCAGGGUGACAAAAACUGGAAGACACCAGUCUUGGGGAGACACAACAAUGGAAGGAGGAAUAUACUAUCUAAAAGGAAGAUGUUGAAGCAGGAAUAACCCACCUUCAGGAUGGAAGAAAUGCCCAUUGCUCGAUCAUGCUUUCUGCAGCAUGAGUGGCUGGAGGCAGCGGUACCCUGUGCCCAACCCUGGGCUCUGGGCACUAAGGAUCAUGAAAUACAAGCAGUGCCUUCUUGAAGGAUGCAUCUGAGUACUCACAUUUCUGGUUUAAGUCCUUCAGGUUUCUGCUGAUGUUUAUAGCAAUAUCUUUCAUUUCAAGGUACUUCAAGCUUGUUAGCUUAUUCAUAUUUUCCAGGAGUUUGUAGUCUUCACUGGUAGCUUUAAAAUAAACAGAA